CUCUUCGUGGUGUAGUGGUCAGCGCUCUCGGUGCAUGUUCGAGAGAUCCGUGGUUCGAGUCCCGGCGAGGGCA
rfam:Stegodyphus mimosarum contig73141, whole genome shotgun sequence.